rnacentral:rRNA from 1 species
GAUGAACGCUGGCGGCGUGCCUAAUACAUGCAAGUCGAGCGAACGGACGAGAAGCUUGCUUCUCUGAUGUUAGCGGCGGACGGGUGAGUAACACGUGGAUAACCUACCUAUAAGACUGGGGUAACUUCGGGAAACCGGAGCUAAUACCGGAUAAUAUUUUGAACCGCAUGGUUCAAAAGUGAAAGACGGUCUUGCUGUCACUUAUAGAUGGAUCCGCGCUGCAUUAGCUAGUUGGUAAGGUAACGGCUUACCAAGGCAACGAUGCAUAGCCGACCUGAGAGGGUGAUCGGCCACACUGGAACUGAGACACGGUCCAGACUCCUACGGGAGGCAGCAGUAGGGAAUCUUCCGCAAUGGGCGAAAGCCUGACGGAGCAACGCCGCGUGAGUGAUGAAGGUCUUCGGAUCGUAAAACUCUGUUAUUAGGGAAGAACAUAUGUGUAAGUAACUGUGCACAUCUUGACGGUACCUAAUCAGAAAGCCACGGCUAACUACGUGCCAGCAGCCGCGGUAAUACGUAGGUGGCAAGCGUUAUCCGGAAUUAUUGGGCGUAAAGCGCGCGUAGGCGGUUUUUUAAGUCUGAUGUGAAAGCCCACGGCUCAACCGUGGAGGGUCAUUGGAAACUGGAAAACUUGAGUGCAGAAGAGGAAAGUGGAAUUCCAUGUGUAGCGGUGAAAUGCGCAGAGAUAUGGAGGAACACCAGUGGCGAAGGCGACUUUCUGGUCUGUAACUGACGCUGAUGUGCGAAAGCGUGGGGAUCAAACAGGAUUAGAUACCCUGGUAGUCCACGCCGUAAACGAUGAGUGCUAAGUGUUAGGGGGUUUCCGCCCCUUAGUGCUGCAGCUAACGCAUUAAGCACUCCGCCUGGGGAGUACGACCGCAAGGUUGAAACUCAAAGGAAUUGACGGGGACCCGCACAAGCGGUGGAGCAUGUGGUUUAAUUCGAAGCAACGCGAAGAACCUUACCAAAUCUUGACAUCCUUUGACAACUCUAGAGAUAGAGCUUUCCCCUUCGGGGGACAGAGUGACAGGUGGUGCAUGGUUGUCGUCAGCUCGUGUCGUGAGAUGUUGGGUUAAGUCCCGCAACGAGCGCAACCCUUAAGCUUAGUUGCCAUCAUUAAGUUGGGCACUCUAAGUUGACUGCCGGUGACAAACCGGAGGAAGGUGGGGAUGACGUCAAAUCAUCAUGCCCCUUAUGAUUUGGGCUACACACGUGCUACAAUGGACAAUACAAAGGGCAGCGAAACCGCGAGGUCAAGCAAAUCCCAUAAAGUUGUUCUCAGUUCGGAUUGUAGUCUGCAACUCGACUACAUGAAGCUGGAAUCGCUAGUAAUCGUAGAUCAGCAUGCUACGGUGAAUACGUUCCCGGGUCU